ACGCAGGCACAGCAGACAUGGCCGUAAGUGGGCCCUGGCCUUCAUGGAGCUGUGAGUCUAGGGGGAAGACAAAUCCACCAGGAGGUGGACCCAGUGUCAGUUGUGAUGCAACAUGAAGGACGACGAGGCAGGACCUGUGAGGAAGUGACAGUGAGCACAGCGAGGAAAGUCUUCCACAAGCUACGUUUCUGAGUCUCUGAGGAAGAUAUCCGAAAGGUGGUGGCCAACACGCCUGGGGCCAUCGAGCCCAUCUUUGUGCCCUGAGGGAGAAGGUGGAGGCCACCCCCAACCACACGGACGUGGCUGGACUUGAGAGAGCAGUCGGAAGCCUUGGAACCCGCUGCGUUUGGACGUGGUCUUGUUACCUGCCAAUGAGAGAGUAAAACCAGGAAAUGAGUGAGGAAGAAGCCCCUGGGGCCCAGACUGCAGCAAAAUCCUUGGCUGUGCCCCUGCGAGCCCAGUUCUGGGUCCCUUCCCAGCCCGACCCAUCUGCUCUCCUUUUCAGAAGUGCUCCCCACUCUGCAUCCUCUGCUUACCAUCUCCCCAACCUCGUCCAUCCUAGGGAGACGUGGGCAGGCAUGUUGGCUACAAGCAGGGAGUCAGCCCCCCUUGGCCGCCUCUUACCGUGCAACUUUUGAAACCUUCGCAGGAGCCAGGACCCUCCAGCGUUGAUGCUGAUGGGCCCAGGGUGGGACUCACCACCCCUGCACACACUGGCCUGCUGAGCCCCUCAGCACCCUCCAGGGCAGAGACCCUUUGGAGUCAGAGGGCUCCGGAGAAGAUGGGCCACUGUGCGUGCGGCGGGUGGGUCUCCAUCUCAAACACCCUACCAUCCCAGCCCUGCCUCUGCUGGCCUGCUGGCCUGAGGGCCCAGUGUUUGCCUUUCAGU